GGGUCAGUAGGUUGGUCGUGCCACCGGUACGUACUGGUCUCACUGAUUCCUCCUUCCUGAAGAACCUUAAUGCCAUUAAUUUUGUGUUGCGGGGAAACAGGACUGUUACUUUGAAAAAAUUAGAGUGUUUAAAGCAAGCUAACGCUUGAAUACAUUAGCAUGGAAUAAUGAAAUAGGACGAUCGAUCCUAUUUUGUUGGUUUCUAGGAUUGACGUA
rnacentral:rRNA from 1 species